rnacentral:tRNA from 1 species
GCCGAAGUAGCUCAGUUGGUAGAGCACCACUUUCGUAAAGUGGGGGUCGUGAGUUCAAGCCUCACCUUCGGCU